rnacentral:rRNA from 1 species
AGAUUGAACGCUGGCGGCAUGCCUUACACAUGCAAGUCGAACGGCAGCACGGGAGCAAUCCUGGUGGCGAGUGGCGAACGGGUGAGUAAUAUAUCGAACGUGCCCAGUCGUGGGGGAUAACGCAGCGAAAGCUGUGCUAAUACCGCAUACCAUCUCUGGAUGAAAGCGGGGGACUCGCAAGGGCCUCGCGCGAUUGGAGCGGCCGAUAUCAGAUUAGCUAGUUGGUGGGGUAAAGCCCA